CAAUUGCAAAAAUAAAACUCCUCCAGAAAUGGUGACCAAAUAAUGAGAUUCAAGAACAAAUAAGAAACCCCAAUUCUCCAAAGAAAACCCUAUAUAAGAGAGAUCGAUCUUCAUCUAGCAAAACCCUCGACGACAAACCAUAAGGCACUAGAAAAAUUAAAAUCUUGCUCCCAAACUAAAAUGAAUCCUAGAUGAGAAGAAGACUUACCUUAUGUCCUAAGAG
rnacentral:misc_RNA from 1 species